AAUAGGAUUGCUGGGUCAUACAGUAAGUGUGUGUUUAACUUUAUAAGAAACUGCCAAACUGUUUUCCAAAGUGGCUGUACCAUUUUGUGUCUCCACUGGCAAU
rnacentral:pre_miRNA from 1 species